rnacentral:lncRNA from 1 species
UCUGUUCGAGAGACGCUGAAUCAGUGUUUCUUCGCAAGUUCUGUCUGUGGAUACUUGAUAAUGAAUUCGUAGGUGAUCGACGUUACCCGCUGCAAAAUCGGGGACAAUCUCUGGAAGGUGUAGCUUUUCUUUCGUUGUUUUCAUAGGUGGCAAUUUAUUGAAAGAAGUAGGUGAAGUCUAAUUUCGAAGGAAAAACAAGAGAGGGAGAGUGAAAUUUAUGGGAAGUAGGGUGUACAUGGGUUGGUUCAGUCCCCUUUUCAGGCAAAAAAACUGAGCCAAUCCGGGUGCUGUAGGUUGAAAGGGAGGGACAGAGGGAUUUGGGUGCUUUUGUGGUAUGUUGGAAAUGUGGAUGUGUAGUAUGUUCUUAUCAUACAGAUGUGGAGUGGGUGAUAGGUUUGCCAGGAGAAUUGAAUUCUGAGAAACUUUGAUCACUAGGAUAGAGGGCUUUGUCUCUAUGUUCUGUUUGGCGCUUGAAGAGGCAAAACCAUAGAGGAAUGAAGAAGAUGCAGUGAAAUGGCAAGCCACCAGGAAAGGUCGCUCGACGGUCAAGUGCUUUAACCACUUCUUGACUUUGGCAACUAGGGAGAGUUGAUAGCCAAAUUUAAUUUGGACUGUAAGAGUAAUAUGAACAUCGGCUGUGCCCAUGGAUAACUGGUUAGGUGAUUAUUUUCUUUUUCCCUGUGGACUAUGGAUGUGAAAAAGAAAUGGUCACAAGAAACACAUAGUUUACAAGAUGCUGAUUGUCGAUUCUGAUUUCUGAGGCCUUCGCAACAGUUUGGGAUUCUCUUUCCAUCCUUAUGUGCCAUAGCUUUUAUGAAGGAAAAUGAUUGAGAAGCUAAAAUUCCUGGAUGCUUCUUGAAUGUUAGAGUGAGACCUGACUAAUGAAACAUAAACUUCUGAGGUACCAAUAAUAAGACACACUGGAAUGAGCAACAUGUAGUUCCUCAAAUGUUGUAGUUUUUGCUUUAGUGUUGUUAGGGCCAUAUCAGUUAAAGUGUUGGGUGGGAUUUGCAUCUGAAUUACAGGAUGAGUAUGUAUUAAUUAUCAUUACUUGGAAGUUUGUGACCAGUGUAUUAUACAGGACCUGCAAGAUCUUGAUCUUAUAGCUAGGAGAUAUGGUCUGAAUGUACGUUUAUCAUUGCUUCUCCACCCCUUUUUAUAAAUUUUGGACAGCACUUUGCUGCUGUUCUGAAUUGAUACCCUCACAUUAUCCACUCACAGUUAUUGUUAAUCUUUUUUGUGUUUCUGCUCUAAAUAUUUCUUUAAUAGAUGCUAAUUUAGUAUAUCUGAACAAAUCUGUUAAAAAGUGGAAUUUUCUAUGCAUUAUUAGGCUGUAAAUGCUUUUGUUCCCAUUAUUCUUUCAUAAAAUAUGACUAUGGCUAACAAUGGCAAGAAUGUUGCUUUACUAUGUACAAUGUUUCAUGAUUCUGGUGUGCCAUUGUGCUCUGUCUGAAUUUCGGACCAAGAACAAGCAAAGAAAAAGUUUUAAUGAGGAGAGAGAGAAUAGAGGAAUGAUAUCAAUUUUUUUGGAUUGAAAUAAAGCUGUUGCAAGCUGCUGGACCAAAAUGUUGAGCGCUCAUGGAUUGUGCUGUAUUGCAUGCUUGAAAAUGUUGACGAGUACUUGAUGGCCUCAACUGAUUAUAAAUUUAUCGAUUAUUCUGGGUACUUCUGUUUACAUGAGAGUGAGUUGCUAUGGUUUCUUCACCUCUCCUGAUUCAAAAGGUGUAGGGAGAAAUGCAAAAUUCUAAAGCUGAGGGAAGUGAGUCAAGAGACUUGGCAAAAUCUCAAGUAUAGGAAGUUUAACUGCAAUUUCACAUAAAAUUUCAAAGAAUAUAACACUUGAGUACUAGAAAUCAGAUUGAAUACCUAAUGGUAAGGAGCAAAGAGAGUUGUCCAUGCUUCACGCAUAAAAUCCUCUCUCUGAUUCUGUCUUAAAGACAGUGAUUUUUGCAAUAGGAUUCAUGAUCUAAUGCAGUUGGCUUUGGUGAAAAUCCUGUCCCUAGGAUAUAUUGUAUGCACUCUAAUCUCCCUCACUUAGUCUACAUACUGAGCAAAGGAGCCUUAAAAGUAUAGUCAAAAUGGAGUAGAUACGAAAAUGGCGAUUUGAAGAGGAAGAAGACGAGUUAUAUUAUGUUGUCUUCAUUUGCUUUUGUUAACUAUUUUAUUUGCUCUGCGAAUGCUCUCAACACUAAAACAAGAAGAAAACAACACUAAGAGAUGUACUGAUUCAAAGACAAACUAUUUGACUCAAACGCUAAGCAAGAGUAAAUAAAUAAACCUGAAGGAGAAAACAUAUUUCGUGAGAUGCAUUUCCUAAAUUUAUGUUGAAACUACUCUAAUAGCAACUUUCUGCCUAACAAAUUUCUAAAGUUUGAUAUGCUUUCUUUAUUUUUCUCCUUGCACUUUCCAAGGCAACAAGACAUGCAGAGAUGGAAGCUCUUGAUAUUCUUUUUGAGCAGUGGCGGUGGACUGGAUUUUCAUCUGCAGAAGUUGCAGAGAAAUUUUCAGCAUGCUCCCUUUAUGUGAUGUCAACCAUGCAUAAUGUGCACAGCAGCAUUAUCGAUCAUUGGUAUAUCGGUCAUACUGAAAUAAAACUAAACUUUUGUCAAAUUUGUUAGUUCACAUAUGAUUAGAUUAGACUCUUAGCCAUUUUUAGGUAUAAAGGAAAUUUAUUAUGGCUGUGCAAAUGAUGAAUUUUGAGGCUGUGGCUCAUUGCAUUCAAGUACCUCUGAGGCAUGCAUUAGGUCAGUUUCAGAACUUGCUUUUGUUGCUGAUUUCAUUACUCACUUUGAAAUUGUGACAUAUGUCAAUUGACAACUAAAGCUUACUAGAGGUUUAUAUGACUCCUUAUUUUGAUUAAUGAUGGUGUGGUUUCAUAGUAAUUCUGUUCAUUGUCACACUUUAAAUAUUGCGACACAUAACCAUGAAAUUAAAUGGAGGUUUAUGGAACUAAUUUUCCACCUUUUCUAUUAUUUUCCAAGUCUAAAUCUAAGAAACUUGACUUUCCAAAAGUGUCAAGAAGUUAAGUUAAUAUUACUUUUUCUUUCCCUGCUUUGUUUCCUUUUAUUUUUAAAAUCAAUGUGACUUGUUAGACAUUCAUUUUUUUUUUUAUUUGCCCUAAAGAAUUUACAUUUUUGGGAAGCACCACAAGUUAAGGUGACCUUAGUUCUUUCUUUCCUUUUCCCAUUCCCCCCUGUUUCUUCUUCUCUCCUACCUUGCUUUUUUUCACUCCAGCGAGAUUCUUUGAUGUCUUUAAUGUUUUUAAAAUGGUAAAUAUAGCAUUUUCAAAGAAUUAUGAUUUUUUAACUAUGAGGAAUUUAUGCUUUCUGAUAUGCUAUGGGCAAUGUACUCGAUAAAGAAAUCCCUUUUCUUGUUUAUUAGUUGCAAUCUUCUCUUCUUGCAUAUAUGAGGGAAUGUGCUUGCUAAAUUGUGGUGUAUGGCAUGUGUUUCCAGUAUUUAGCAAGCAUAGCUUCUUCAAAGAAUGUGAUAUCUUAACUAUGAGGAAUUUCUGAUAUGCCAUGGGCAAUGUACUUGAUAAAGAAAUCUCUUUUUUUGUUUGUUAGUUGCAAUUAUCUCUUCUUGCAUGCACGAGGGCAUGUGCUUCCUAAAUUGCGGUGCAUGGCAUGUGUUUCUCGUAUGAUUUUUGAUGUGUUUGAUGGUGCCAUGAUCUGACAUUUCAUGUUUCCUAAGCUUGUCCAAAACUCAUCAAUUUUUAUUUAGAUUUUGUUGGCAUAAAAGUUAAAAACUUAGUGAAAUAGAAUCUGCUUCAUUGUGAUUGGAGCAGUGCAUAGAGUAGCUAUUCUAGAUUACAGACAAUGUCUUUCUGUUGAAUUACUAGUUUUAAAAGAAGAAGCUCAAGCUGCUCUUCAUAAUCUGAUUAUAAGUCAAAAAUAUCAUGGGAAACAUGAAGGAGAUCAUUGCCUUUCUGAAUACAACAUCAAGCAAGAGGAUGCUCCUUGCAGAUAGUGGACCACCUUGCUCAAAUUCCACCUUGUGAAGCUAAAAAACUAGCCCUAAUUAUUGCAUAAUUUCAUGAUAGAGAGAAUGAGACCGUUGUUAAUGGUGAGCAUGGUUUCUUAUUCGAUGUUUGGAAGAUGGAGCUGAUUGAAACCCAUCCUAGCCUAUAUUAGUAUACAAUUCAUCCAAAAUCUUCUCUCAAUCAGAUCACCAGUGCCAGUUACUCUAUGACAGAACUUGCCCAUGCAUAUUAAAAGCCUCAAAGUAUUGCCCUGUUUACAGCAUGUUGUUUGAUCUCCAAGGAAAUUAGGUUUCAGCCACAGCUAACCCAAACACACCUCUUUUAACCUGAUGCAAGAAGUUUGCCAAGGUGUAUAGCCUAGUUACUGUCAAUUCAUUUAAAUAGUACAGUUCAGAGUUAAUUUGCUUGCCUGCAUAUCUGUUUUCUGCAGUACAGACAUGUCUUAAAGUUGACAUGCUUAGGACCUAAAUGUAAACUUCUGAAGUUAAGCAUAUACCUUUACCGGCGAACUUGUUUUUGCUUGGAUGAUACCUUCUUUUGCAAAGUGCGUUGUCCAUCAGUCUACUAAAUUGUCUCUUGCAUGGUAUUCGGGCUUGUUUUUCAUAUAGAAUCUGUUUUGGGUUUCAAGCUGACGAGCUAGGUGAAAAAGUAGAAUCAUCAGAACUAGUUGGUUGCUUUCAGAAAUAUAAUCUUUUUUCCCCUUUUCAAGUGUCUGCAUGAUUUAUGAAUGUUUCCAACAUUUUUCUUGUUUCUCUUGCAGUAAUGGAAAUUCUAGAUCAAAUGCACCCUAAGUAUAGUUGAUUCAGUGGAACAGUGUUCAGCCAUUUAGUGGUUGCAAAGAAUGGUUGUAGAAUUUGCUCAGUAACAAAAGGUAGAGUAAUAGAUAGCCAGUCCUUUCUUUAGGCCAAUUUUCAAAUGCCUUGUUUAUCAAAUGUAGCUUUUUCCUCUAGACUGGGUAUUCUUAGCCAGAUUGUCAUUUGAGAAAUGGGACAUCAUGUCCUUGGUUAUGGAAAAAGAUGAAGUGCAGUAUCUUAAUAUCCGUUCGUUAGACUCGUUGAGAGCAGUAUCUUCUUGAUCUUUAUCGUGAAUUACUAACAUAUAUGGUUCUUGGUCGAGCAAUUCUCCAAUUUGAGCUCUUUAGUUGAAUAUAUUUCAAGAGACUGAUCUGACCUUAACCUUUUCAGGCUUCUAAGAUAAUUAGUAUGCUUUUGCAGCUCAAUACAUGCAGAAAAUAUGGCCUUGAAAUCUUUUGUCUAGGCAAUUAUAUAAUUGAAUUUGUUUUCCUUCUCUAUUUUAUAGAACCCUGUAACUUGAAGGUCAUUUCUCUUUGCCAUUUUCCCAUCCUUUUCCAUUCAUUUGCUGUUUAUGACAUUGUGCAGUCUAUGAUCUGUUUAAAUAUUAUAGAUAAAUACUGAAUGCUAAUAUUUGGAUUUCAGCUUCAAAGCCUCACAUCACGAGUUACUCAGGCUUCUUUUUAAAUCUGCGUGCAUUGGUUCUUCCUGUUGAAUCCUCUCAUGGCUUUGCACAACUAGGUAACACCUUUGGAUUAUGAUUGUCGCUUUUUUGAACAUGAUGGACAUCAUGCAUUGUUGGGUCAUUAUGAUUGUCAGUUACUUGUGAACAUCAUGGCCUGUUAAAAGGGAAUGGCACGGAUUACGACGCUGUGGCGAUGUUUCUUGCCAUGGCAGUAGGAUAUGAUGCUCAUGUUAAGAUGGAGUAUACCUAUAGCUAUAGAUUUCCUUGUAUGAUGGUAGUCAAUCACAACAAGGACACUAUAAAGGUCUUCAAUAUGAAGAUAGAUAACAUCCUUGCUCUUCAUUCCCGAUUCUUGGUUUAUUCUAAUAUAUUGUUCAUUUUUGUUAUUCCUGUUAGUUAAUUUCUUCAUUUGACUAUAACCUAAGUCAAACUUGCAGUUCAAGGUAGUUUAAUUCUUGAGGUGAACUCAUUGCGAAAUUACUUCUGAACUAUAGUAUUGUGAUUGUUUGUAUUCUACAUGUAAAGCACAAAUCUGGAUUGGAUAUCAUUAGUGCUGAUUCUAGCAAGAUAAGAUAUUCUACUAUUUGUGUGUGAUAUCAGAAACAUUAAUUAUUUGAUCACAAAUGUACGUUCAAACGGCCUUUUGAGUAGAGAGACUUGUUUGAAUAUUACCAAUGAUGAUUGAAAUUCUAUUUGCGAUAGGAUGAUGUAGUUAAAAAUCUAGCAUUCCAUAAAGUAGCUUCAAAUGAUUUUGUGCACUCUGACUAACAAUGCAUGUGCCAUUUCAUGCUUUUUCGAUCACAGAAUUUCCUCAAGGGACCUGAGAGAAGAAGCUUGAUUCUUGUCCAAAUCAGUGUUUGCUCAGAUGGUCGUGUUCACUAAGGAUUGCAGCUACACUCACAAUUUUAUUUUGUGCUUUAACUUAAUUCUUAGAUCAUUAAGAUAAUUUACAGAAUUUACAGCAUAACCUUAUGUAGGCAUCACUUUUUUAUGUUAAUUUUUGUCAUCGACAUAUUCUGUAAUUUGAUUUUUUUCCUUUUUUUAAAAUUUUUUGAACUUUGGGUUAAUUCUAGGCUUGCUAUUAUGUAUUUGAGCACUAGAUUUUGAACUAUAUCAUGUGUGAUCCCUUAUGAUGAUAAAAGUGGUAUAUAAUUUGCAUGUAAUUCACAUGGACUUCCUAGCAAAGAACGCAUUGACUGGAUUUGAGCUUUUUUAUUAUGCCAAGUCUGUCAUAAACACUUGAAUAUAUAAUGUUGUAGAGUCAGUUAAUGUCGUGAUCAUGCUUGACUUUGCCUAGCAUGAAAUUGUGGGAUAGGACAUGUGGUGGCUCAAAAAGGACGUGAAAAACUCCAUGUUUUGCUUGGUUAGGAGGCAAUUGGCAAUUACUUCUUUCCAGAGUGCGCUUUCAGUACUGUUCAAUCCUGCAUGAGGAUGCUCCUUGUAGAUAAUGGACUACCUUGCUCAAAUUCCACCUUGCUAAGCUCAAAAAGUGCCCCUAAUUAUUGUAUUUUUUCAUGAUAGAGAGAAUGAAACCGUUGUUAAUGGUGAGCAUGGUUUUUUAUUCGAUGUUUGGAAGAUGGAGCCGAUUGAAACCCAUCCUAGCCAGUAUUAGUAUAAAAGUCAUUCCAUAAAUCCUCUCUCAAUCAGAUCACCAGUGCCAAAAACUCUGUGAGAGAACUUGCCCAUGCAUAUAAAAAGCCUCGAAGUAUGCCCUGUUUGCAGCGUGUUGUUUGAUCUCCAGGGAAAUUAGGUUUCAGCCAUAGCUAACCCAAACACACCUCUUUUAAUCUGAUGCGAGAAGUUUGCCAAGGUGUAUAGCCUAGUUACUGUCAAUCAAUUUAAAUGGUACACUUCUGAGUUAAUUUGCUUGCCCGAAUAUUUGUUUUCUGUGGUACAGGCAUGUCUUAAAGUUGAUAUGCUUAGGACCUGGAUGUAAACUUCCUAAGUUAAGCAUAUUCCUUACCUGCGAACUUGUUUUUGAUCGGAUGAUACCUUCUUUUGCAAAGUGCAUUGUUGACUAGUCUGCUUAAUUAUCUCUUGCAUGGUAUUUGGGCAUGUUUUUCAUAUAGAAUCUGUUUUGGGUUUCAAGCUGAUGAGCUAGGUGAAAAUGCAGAAUAUCGGAAAUAGUUGGUUGCUUCCACAGAAAUUUAAGUGUCUGCAUGAUUUAUGAAUGUUUCCAACUUUUUUCUUGUUUCACGUGUAGUAAUGGAAAUUCUAGAUCAAAUGCACCCUAAGUAUAGCUGAUUCAAUGGUGUUCAGCCAUAUAAUAGUUGCAUAGAAUGGGUGUAGAAUUUGCUCAGCAACAAAAGGUAGAGUAAUAGAUGCCCAGUCUUUUCUUUUGGCCAAUUUUCAGAUGCCUUGUUUAUCAAAUGUAGCUAUUUCCUCUAGACUGGGUAUUCUUAGCCAGAUUGUCAUUUAAGAAAUGGGAAGUCGUGUCCCUGGUUAAGGAAAAAGACGAAGUGCAGUAUAUUAAUAGCUACUCCAUUCGUUAGACUCGUUGAGAGAAGUAUCUUCUUGAUCCUUAUCAUGAAUUACUAGCAUAUAUGGUUCUUGGUCAAGCAAUUCUCCAAUUUUUGAGCUCUUCAUUUGCAUAUAUUUCAAGAGACUGAUCUGACCUUAACCUUUUCAGGCUUCUAAGAUAAUUAGUACACUCAUUGCAUACAGAAAAUAUGGCCUUGAAAAUACUUGUCUAGGUAAUUAUAAAAUGAAUUUGUUUUGCUUCUCUGUUUUAUAGAACCCUGUAACUUGAAUUUAAUUUCUCUCCGCCAUUUUCCCAUCCUUUUCCAUUCAUUUGCUGUUUAUGACAUUUGCAGUCUAUGAUUUGUUUAAAUAUUAUAGAUAAAUACUGAAUGCUAAUAUUUGGAUUUCAGCUUCAAAGCCUCACAUCACAGGAUCAGGCUUCUUAUUAAAUCUACGUGCAUUGCAUCUUCCUGUUGAAUCCUCUCAUAGCUUUGCACAACUAGGUAACACCUUUGGAUUAUGAUUGUCGCUUUUCUGAACAUCAUGGACAUCAUGUAUUGUUGCAUCAUUACGGUUGUCAGUUACUUGUGAACAUCAUGGCCUGUUAAAAGAGAAUGGCAUGGAUUAUGGUGCCGUGGCAAUGUUUCUUGCUGUGACUGUAGGAUAUGAUGCUCAUGCUAAGAUGGUAUACCUAUAGCUAUAGAUUUCCUUGUAAGAUAGUAGUCAAUCUCAACAAGGAUGAUAUAAAGGUCUUAAAUAUGAAGUUAGACAAUAUCCUUACUCUUCAUUCCUGAUUCUUGGUUCAUUCUGAUAUAUUGUUUAUUUUUGUUAUUCCUGUUAGUUAAUUUCUUCAUUUGACUAUAAUCUAAGUCAAACUUGCAGUUCAAGGUAGUUUCAAUUCUUGAGGUGAACUCAUCGUGAAACUACUUUUGAACUAUAGUUUGUGACUCUUUGUAUUCUACAUGUAAGGCACAAAUCUCGAUGUGAUAUCAUUAGUGCUAAUUCUAGCACAAUAAGAUAUUCUCCUGUUUGUGUGUGAUAUCAAAAUGGUUAUCACAAAUGUAUGUUCAAACGGUUUUUUGAGUAUAGAGACUUGUUUGAAUAUUACUGAUGAUGAUUGGAAUUCUAUUUUGUGAUAAGAGGAUGUAGUUAAACGUCUAGCAUUCCAUAAAGUAGAUUCAAAUGAUUCUGUGCACUCUGACCAACAAUGCAUGUGCCAUUUCAUGCUUUUUCGAUCACAGAAUUUCCUCAAAGGGCCUGAGAGAAGAAGCUCAGAUUCUCAAGGUUUGCUCAGAUGGUCAUUCGUUCCUUAGGAUUGCAGCUACACCCACAAGUUCAUUUCGUGCUUUAAUUAUUAGAUCGUUAAGAUAAUUUACGGCAUAACCUUAUGUAGGCGCCUCUUUUCUAAUGCUAAAUUUUGUCAUCGACAUAUUCUGUAAUUUGCCUUUUUUUUUUCUUUUUUCUUUUUGUUAAGUUUCUUGAACUUUGAGUUAAUUAUAGGCAUGCUAUUGAUGUGUUUGAGCACCAGAUUUGGGACCAUAGCUGGGUUAAUUCCAAAAAAAAGCACCAACUUUAGGUCGAUGGACAAAUCUGGCCCGAACUUUUUUUUGUCUCAUAAAAAAGCACAAACUUUAGGUCAAGUGACAAAUCUGGCCCGAACUUUUUCUUGUUACAUAAAAAAGCAUCAACUUUAGGUCGAGUGACAAUUUUGGCCCCAUUUUUUUUUGUUUCGAAAAAAAAUCACAAACUUUCACUUAAAUCCUAAAUCUGGGCCCCCCUUAACUUAAAUUCAUUGAUUGUUUUUAAUCAAUAAAUCCAUGUGCACUUACUGGACUAACACGACAAUUGUCUUCUUGUUUGAGCUACAGCUUGAAGAAUAACGUGAAACUGUGUCAUCUCAUAAGUAAAAAAUCUACAUAUUGAAUUUCUCUAGCUAUAUUUUAUCAUUUUGUCGUAAUAUGAAGCUAUAGAUCACCACCUGUUAAGAGAAACCACAGAUGAGAUCCACCAAUUUCAUAGCUAGAACAUUUUCUCCUGAAAUAAGGUUAACUUCAAAUAGAAAGUUAACGGUAGGGGUUAGAUUUUGAAUAGGAGCGAAAGUUUGUAAUUUUUUAUGAGAAAAAAAGAUGGGGCCAGAAUUGUCACUUAACCUAGAGUUGGUGCUUUUUUACAAGAUAAAAAAAAGUUCAGGCUAGAUUUGUCCCUCGACCUAAAGUUUAUGCUUUUUAAUGAGACAAUUUUUUUUUUUUUUGCCAGAUUUGUCCAUCAACCUAAAGUUGAUGUUUUUUUAUGGAAUUAGCCCGACCAUAGCAUGUGUGAUCCCUUCUGAAGAUAAAAGUGGUAUAUAAUUUGCAUGUGAUUCGCAUGGAUUUCCUGGCAAAGAAUGCAUUGACUAGAUUUAAGCUUUUCUAAUUAUACCAAUUAUGUCAAAAACACUAGAAUAUAUAAUAUUGUAGAGUCAGUUAAUGUGGUGAUCGUUCUUGACUUUGCCUAGCAUAAAAUUGUGGCAAAACCUCAAUGAUUUAAUAGGACAGGUGGUGGCUCAAAGAGUACAUUAUAACUCCAUGGUUUGCUCGAUUAAGAGGCAAUUGGUAGUUACUUCUCCAAUAGUGCAAUUGGCAAUUACUGGGAGAAUUACCAAAAAAGUCAUAAAUUUAUUAUCAUUGUGUUAAUUCAGUUAUAAACUUUUUUUGGGGCCAAUUUAGUCCUAAAUCUUUUACAAUUGUGUCAAUUCAGUCCAUCUAGCCAAAAUUGGCCUGCCAGUGCUAACGUGGACACUGGCCGUCCGGUGAACGCUGACGUAGCAUUUUUUAAAUAUUUUUUGAAUAUUUUUUCUUCUUUUUUUUCCCAUCUUCUCCUUCGCCUGGCCAACCAAAGGCGAGGGUCGGUGAGGCUCACCCCCACUGGCUAAAGGCGAGGGUCGGCAAGGUCAGCCUCGCCGGCCACUAGCGAGGGCAAGGCUUCGCCUGAUCCGGCGAGCUUGGCCCUCACUAAAUCUAGCAAGGCCUCGCCCAGCCAAGGCGAGGGUCGACCUCGCUAGUGGCCGGCGAGGCUCCUUGCCACCCUUGCCUAGCCAAGGGGAGGGUUGACCUCGCUGGUGGCCGGCGAGGCUCCUCGCCCAGGGAUGGUGAGGCUCGACCUUGCCAUGGUUGCGCGAGGCUGAGCCUCGCCAGAUGUGGCGACGGCAGCUUUGUCGUCGCUAGGCGAGGCUUGCCUUCGCUAGUGGCCGAUGAGGGCGAGCCUCGUCAGUGAUCGGCGAGGUUGCCCUUGCCGACUAGAGGAAGGAGAAUGUGGGGGAAAAAAAGAAGAAAAAAUAAUUUAAAAAUUGCCACAUCAGCAUUCGCCGGCCGGGCGACCGGCUGUCCCUAGUCGGCGUCCACGUUAGCGCCGGCUGGCCAAUUUUGGCCGGAUGGAUUGAAUUUGCGCAAUUAUAAAAAGGUUUAAGACUAAAUUGGCCAAAAAAAAAGUUAAGGAUUGAAUUGUCACAAUUGUAAUAGGUUUAUGAUUUUUUUGGUAAUUUUCCUGGCAAUUACUUCUUCCCAAAGUGUGCUUUCGGGAUUGCUCAAUCUUGUAUGAUAGCCCUUUUUUCUUCCCGGUUAUAAAAUGUCAAAUUUUGAGUUCUUUCUAGUUAGUAUCGAUAUAUUUUCAUCUUUUAAAACGUCUGAAAAUGCCAAACAUUUGUCUGACAGGCUCAGUCUAACAUGAACUUCACUAUAAUCUGUUAGAAUAUGUGGGUUGACAUCAAUUGCAUAAUGUUUAGGUUCGCAAGAAAUACUCCGUUAUAAUAUUACAAAAUAUAUGAGGAUGUUAUAGUGCCAAAAUUAGAUUAUGUGAUCAUAAUAUAUAGGGCUUAGCAUAUCUCGGUUACGGCAAUAAUGUGGUUGGCUGAUUAGUGAAGACCAGUAUUUUAACGAUGACCUGUAUUUUUUAAUGGGUCUAUUAAAAUAUUUUGCAUAAAUAGGUUAUGGUCUCCGUGUCCCGCUUAAUUCCAUAUGCCUAUGGAUUAUCCAUCAAGACCAUCUAAGGUAGGAGAAAGAGAGGAAAGCCUAGUCCUGAAUUUGUAUGGCUCUAUCCAUAUUACUCGAUUCAAAGAUGAUAAUUGGCUAAACCGGAUGUGUUUUUUUAUUCAAGGCUAGGUAUUGUAAAUUCUAUACAAGCGUUUUAGAUCAAUGAAUUUCUUAUGUGUGCUAGGAGAGUAGCUUUAUAAGGGUGAAGAAUACACAUAAUGCAUAAUCUCGAUGAAAUUACAUGUAUAGUGCAUAUAUUUCACAAUUUAUGGGCAAGUUCAGGAAUUUGAUUAUUUUGGUUGCUUCUUUUAGAUAUUGAUAUGGAUUUUAAUUGCCUGUUCUCUGAUAAAUCUUCUUGGCAAAUAUCGUGUUAUGAGUUAGUCUAUUCUGUGAGGAUUUCAAAUAUUGAAGGGCAUGCGACCGGAAAAAAAUAUUUUGCAAUUUGACCUCUUUGGUCGUUAUUUUGGACAAUUAAUUUAUGGCUUUUGUUACCCACGCAACGAUUCUUAAUACUCCGUGAAUUUUGUGUCCUAAUUUAAUUUGUGCAUUAAAAAUUUUCCACUUGAAGAUUUUGGAGUAAACAAGAGAACCAAAAGUCAUGCGGUGCAAUUCAACAAUUCUACUUUAAUGGUCAAAAUCAGUUCUUGAGUUUUGUUCUACAAUGUAUAUCGGUCCUUUUGCGAAUUCCAUGUUGUGAUAUGAACUGGGUCAUGAGAAUUUCAAUUUAGAAGUUUCAUAAAUUUUUGGAUUAUUUACCUUAUGACCGAGUAAAGAAACUCCAAAUUGGAUAACGAUUUCUUACUAUAAGACGAAAUCAGCUUCCUUAUCGUGUAACUCACAGCAAUUUCGGUCAUUUUGCAGCUUUAAUGUGGCAUCCGAAAAUUCCAACGACCCUCAAAUAUGCAACAGUCACGUUUUCUUUUAUCUAUUGGACCGACCAACCAUGCAACAAGAGAAGUCUUUGGACUUUGAUUGUUUGAUGGAAUUCAGCCAUGCAUGAGGAACACGCAUGCUGAAUUUAAGAAUAAAAUUUUGAGGAAUUGGACUGUGCAUGAGGACCAUGCAUGUCUUUUCUUUGUGCGAUUCGGCAAGUGAGGAAAUGAAUUUUUAUCACCAUACAACUCUAUCGAGUUCUUUCUCCACGCGAGAAUUUUGAUCACAUACUGUUGCCACAUCGUGUGGCCAUUUGAGUAGGCCGUAAUUUAGCUCAUGCAUGUGCGGAGAUUAAGGUAAAUAUUUUGAGAAAAUUGGGCCACGCUUGGAGACCAUACGGCCACGAAUUUGUUGGCCCAAGCUGCCCGAGUUUCUUUUUCUUCUUCAUUCGGUCGACAGCAUGGAGUCAACAAAUCAAGGGAUUAUUGACUGAGAGGAGCCCAGCAACUGCCACGUUGCUCUCCCAUUCGGUGGCCAGCACAGGAGGAAAACCGGACAAGGAGAGACACGCCUCCUCCACCUGUCCAUUUCAGCUUCAGCCACUUGCACAAAAAGUGAUUAAUUAGUUAAUCAAAGAACAAAAGGGGGGAGUUCGAAUUUGAGGGGAAGAGAGAGAGUGAACCGAGCCAGAGAGAGAGAGAGAGAGAGAGAGGGCGCGCGGGUUUGAGCUGCGAGGGAGGAAGAGAAGGAUCGCCUUCUGCCCAUGCUCGAGCUGCCGCCGUCGACGUCACCCAUCUUCGCCGCCGUUGAGCCGCGUUUGAGGUCCCGAGCUUCCCAUUCGGUUUGUCGAUUGAGCUUAGGAGUGAGGCAAGUAGAAGUUCAUUAAUCUAUGUUAUGCAUGAGGUGAUUAUCUGGUGAAGUGCUAGUAGAUUUGAGAAAACGCUGAAAUGGAAACUGCAUGUUGGGUUUUUGGAUGAUUGAGAUGAAGAUUGAGUGUUGUUCUGUGGAGGAUCAAAUGUAUUGUUGUUGUGUUGUGUUGGAAGUCAUUGCAUGUUGCUUUUGAGUCCUGCAUGUCUCAAAAAUUUAGUGAAAGUUGGCUGUUUUGAUUGAGCAAAGUGAAGUGAUACUUGCCGAGUGAAGAAAUGAGGUGUAUGUUGAGAUGAGUGAGCUUAUGGAUGAAUAUAUGCUUUGAGCCGAGCUAUGGAAGGUUUCUCUGUUAAUAAGAACUUGCUGAAAGUGUUCUUAGAUUCUGUGGAAGAGUCUUAAAGUGUUGUAAGAUAGAUUGGUAGAGAAACAAAUGGUUUGAUUGAACUAGAAAUGAAGAAAACUGUAUGUACCGAUUCUGUUUUAGAGAAAUUUAGAUAGAAAGUCUUUUUAAUUGUGUUGCUCUGAUUUAUAACGAUGAAGCUAAGGAAAGGAACCAUUUUACAUAAUAGAACACCCAUUAGAUUGAGUUUGACAUCUAGCUAUAGCCACAUGAAUGUAAAAAUAUGAAGGUAGAAGUGAACCUAUUGAAAACAGUGAACUGUUUCGUAGAGAAUAGUUUGACCUGUGAUGAUGACUCCGUGAAUUUUAUGUAAUUAUAUAGUUAGAAUUAGACUUCAAACUCUUAAUGAAAGUUGUAGGAAACAUCCUUAUGAAUAACAUACCAAAAUUUGGGAACAAGCGGACAAGAUUUAGUUGGUGAAACAAAUUUUAUUUCUGUAGGUACUGAAUCUGAAAGUUACUGCAGAAUUUUGAAGGAAACAGAAAACUAUUACUCUUUAUACACAACGAAUCUGACUUAGUAUACUUCAUGAAAUUUCUUCAUUUAGAUAUCAUUUAUAUCAUAUCAAAAUUUCAGAAUUUUCUGAGUUCAUUUAGGGAUUAUUCCGAAAUUGUUACUAAAACUGUGUAUUGUGAUGUUUGAGCUAUUUUGUUCCGAAUUUGCUCAAUUUGUCCCAAAGGUGAAUGUGUCUUGAGUUGUUAUUUGACAUGAUUAUAUUGACAUUCAGUAUACCAUGAAAUAUUGAGAUUUGGUGAAGAUUCAUGGGACAUCUUGUCAUUGCAUUGAAAAGUGUUUUGGAAAUUAAGAUGUUAAUAGUUACCGUUGGACUCUCGGGUCAACAAUGCCCCGGGAGUCGGGAUGCCCAAUGGUUCGAAUGAGUUGAUGCCUUUAGAUGCAUGGUUGUAUUAUGAAUACAUGCCCAGAGGUUUCUCUAAAAGCAUCGGGAUGCCCGGUUGUAUGCUUGUCGGUACAUAAAUCCGGAGGUUAGGGGUAACCAUGUCUUUGGUCCCAAGUGAUUCUUCGUGAUGCCAGGUGGGGUGCGAGAUGCCCAAAUGUUUGAAUGAGUCGAUGCCCUUUGGAUGUCCGGUUGUAUUUUGAAUACAUGCCCGGAGGCUUAUGCGAUGCCAGGGAUGGGUGCGGAAUCCCAAAAGGAUGCAAACGUUGGUCCUCUGGGGGGAUAAAACUGUUUGAAUGAUUAAAUCUGAUGAUUAUAUUAAGUGUGAGUGUGGUCUGGUUAUGAGACUAAAUUGUAUGGUAUGGAAUGAGACGUAUCAUUACAGUUUGGCCCUAUGAUCGGGACUUGUGUAACUGGACAUGAUGCAUCUUGAGGGUUUUGAAAUUGUACUUGCCAUUGCAUUGAAUAAUUUCAUGAUUUUGAUGCUUGCCUAUCCAUUGAUUACCUGUUUUUGUCUAUCUUGCAUGAAUCUGGAUAUUGAUGGUACUGCGUGAUAUAGCUUAAUGAAUCUUUUACUGCUGAGUGGUUGUACUCACCCCAGUAAGGGACUAACAUUUCAGACUAAGUCAAGAUACCUCUGCUGCCACCGCCACCAGUACAUGGACCGAGUGAUUGAAUAUGACCACGAGGAAGAUGAUAGUAGAGGAAUGAACUUUUGGACGCCGAUACUGAUCGAUGGACUUUAAGUAUACAAUUGUUGGAAAAGAUGUCGGUUAUAUUUUGAAAUAUAGCCGAGUAUAGAAGAUUACGGCAUUUUGGUAUACCGACGAAUGAUGUUCAUCUGGUUUAAGUAAAUAAAAGUGUUCGGCUUUUAUCUUAUAAAAGUUUUAGUUGGUGUACAUUGUCUCUAAAUUUUGGAAUAGGGAGAUGUUGGAUUUUGCUUCCGCUAUUAUAUAUAUAUAUAUAUAUAUAUAUAUAUAUAUAUAUAUAUAUAUAUACACUGCGCAGGGACCGAUCUAAAUGAUAUAAACCCCUAGGACUUAUGGACCUAUUAUAAUUUUAUGGUAUCAGAGUUAUAUAUUAUCAGGUCAAGAGAAAGGCAGGUGAACUGUGGCGACCUUAGCGGAUCGGGGCCGUUCGGGGGUGCCACAUGUAAUUUCAAAUGAAAUCCAUUGAGGGCAUCCAAAAUCGAGUUUUGGGUAUUUUGAGUUUCUAAUUCGUAAUAAUUGGACCAUCGUUAGGCUAUUAGAUGCACGAACAAGCUUCGUGAUGCUGUUUCCGAUCUUAAAGGUUGUUUAAACAAGUGUAGUUAUGAAGUUAUUAUGCAUUUACUCAAGAAUGUAUUUGACCGGCUAUGGAGUUAUUCACAAGCUUUUUGGUUGUUGGUCUUUUGAUAAAUCAGAGACUUUAUUUUAGAUUAAAGCAUUUAAUCAGGAUUUCAUGUUAUUAUUUUAUUAUAAAAUUGAAAUAGAGGCAUAGUUGAGCUUUAGAAGGCUUGAAUUGCGGCCUUUUAACUCUGAGUUUGUAAUGGAUCAAGAUUGGGUAAAAAAUUGGGUCGAGCAACCUGGACCGAGGGGUGUAUUUCUACUUUUACUUGAAUGAAAUCUCUUGUUUUAACAAAAAAAAAAACCUGGACCGAGGUCGAAGAAGACCACGUGCACAUGCAAGUCAAAUUACAAAUGCGGAAGAAGCACGUGUAGGCACGUGAGAACUCUUCCAACUCUGAUUUCAAUGCGAUUUUUCAUAUUGUGCUCCACGUGCCACGUCAUACUUUUUGUUAAGAGUUGUACACCUGCUCCAAAAAAAUAACAAAAGUAAACAAUCCACCGAAGCGAAAUAUAAUAAUAAAAAUAACAUAAUAGAAACAACACACUAGAAAAAUUAUUACCCAAUUUUUCCCAAAAUUGAGCUACAUCUCCACACAAAGGCAUCCUACAAAUCCACUAAACUUUGAAGAAAGUAAGUAUUUAAAUAAUUAUAUUUUUUCAAAAUUAGGGUAUAAAGAGAUUGAGAAUACUUUUGAAGAAACAACCAAUUUUUUUUCUCUCUUUUCCUUAUUUCUCCGUUUGCCUUGACGGCUACAACCUAUUUGUAAUUGAUACAUGAAGUGUAGCUUUUCACCUAUGGCCUUGCGCAGAGGUCAUGACAACCUAGUUGAGUUGAGAGCCAGGAUCUACUGGGUCGGGAGUGGGCAGCUAGAUUCAAGAAAUGCAUCAGUAAGAACAAAAUUAAAGAGCCACCUAAAACAAGAGAUUGAGAGAUCUCUCGUGCGAGAACUUGGCGGUAGAGAAGUGGAUAAAACUUACACGAGAUUGGAGCUUGGGAUCUACCAGGAUCGACCAAGAUUUGGGUCACUGUGACCUUCGUGUAAGACCGCGCGAUGGUUGCCGCCACCUAGAUCACAUAGUCUCGGUGACCUCCGCAUGGAGGUCGUGGCAUGGCGGGUUGCACAGCCCUUCGAUGAGGGUUGCCGUGGCUUAGAUCGUGAUCCCAACCCUCGUCGAACCACCUACUCUUCACUGGACCGCCUGUCCUUCGCCGGCCAACUCUUCUCCUUUUUUUUUUGUUUUUUUUAAUAACAAAAGCUUUUUCCAAAUAUAAUUUCUCCAAAUACUAUUUUGCUAAAAAAUACUUCAUAAUGGACUUUUACAGUACAAUUUACCAAGCACAAUUUGUAGUUUGGAAAACUCCUUUAACUCAAUAGCCUUUGCAUUUCCCCAAAAACUUUGCCCAAAAGCCUUUCUGAAUGCACCAAAAAACUAGUGACCGGAACUUGUGCCUUUGCGAUACUCCUCAUUAAUUAAUACAAAGUAAUACCAAUAGUAGUAGUGCAGAAAGUAUGCUUCUCUUUGUCUACUACCUUGGUAAAUAUAUUAACCAGAUUUUUCGAGUCAUCAAUCUUUUGCAACUCUAACUCGUUAUUUUUCAAUGUUGACUUAAUGAAAUGAUAAACACCUAUUGAUAUGUCUAGUCCUUGAGUGAUGAGUUGCAUUCUUUGUUGGGUGAACUGCACUUUAACUAUCACUCCACAGUAUGCUUAUUGACUGCUUUCGAUGUAACUCAUCCAUGUGAUCUUGUAACCACAUGAUUUCCUUAGACACUAUAGAGUCACUACUUUUUAUAGUUGAGAUGUAUCUCCAUAAAAAAGAAGAAGAGUAAUUUGAUGUAUAUGCUAAAUAUAUCUAUAUACAUUUUAGUGCAUUCUAAUGCUCUUUACUCAGGUUAUGCAAAUAUUAACUCACAACUCUUACUGCCUAUGCAUUGUCUAGUCUUGUGCUCACCAUGAAACACAUCAAACUUCCCAUCACUAAUGCACAUGGGAUUGCCACUAUUUCAUCUUUCAAAGCUUUUGUACUUAGAGACAUAUCCUUGAAAAGUUUGAAAUAAUCCAAUGGAGGAGUUGCAACUAGUUUUGCCUUAUUCAUGUUGAAUCUUUUUAACACCUUAUUCAUAUAAUCUUUCUGCGAUAGCCAUGAUUUCUUAUUUUUCCUAUUCUUGAUUAUUUUCAUGCCUAAGAUUUUCUUCGUCUCUUCCAAGUCUUUCAUAGCUAGCUGUAAUGUCAACAUCUUCUUCGCUUUUGUGAUUCUCUUCAUAUUAGAGCCCAUCAGUUUGUCAUCCAUAUAUAAAGAGAGAUACACUAUAUCAUUAGACCAAGAUUGCGUCGAGUGUGAAUUGAAUAUGAGACCUUUGUUUGAACCCAUGUUUAGAGCCAUUUUAAAUGCGAGUCAAUGAGAAUCUCUUAGAAAAUGGAGUCAUUCACUAGCAAAAUAUUUGUUUUCGAGGAACGUCACACAUUUAGGUUGCAUUAGAAUUGAAUGAGUUUCUACAAGUCAAAACUCAAAAGAAAAUGCAUGCAGUCUUGGUGAACAAACAUCACACGUGAUAUUCUUCUUGAGGCAAAUUUGUGCUUUCUUUUUAUAUUUGGCCUGCUUAAAUAUCAUUUAUUGUCAUACAUGGUUCUCAUUAUUGAUCCAUUCAUUCUAUAUUGCAAAUUGAAAUAUUGGUAUAAAAAGUCCAUUUUUUGAGUUCUCUUCCUUAGCUAAUAAAAAUGUAUUAAAUUCAUAAUCUCACUCACCGGGACAAAAAACAUCCGCCUAACAAUUAUAGGCAAAAACAAAUAAGAAGAACAAGCGAUAAUUGUGGACCACAAUCAAAGACGCGAACGUUGAUGAAUUGCCCCAAUUGACAUUAAACGAAUGGACAAUAGAUCCCGUUGGACAAAGCACAAGCAUUUCAUCAGUAAUGUCAAUAAAGUAAGGGUAGAAGUAAUUUUAGCCGAACAAUUUUAUGUCAAUAAGGAUGAUUGGUUAAAUCAAAUAUGUGUUUUAAGGUUAGGUAUUCUUGGCGCUAUAUACGGGUUUUAGAUCUUUGAAUUUCUUACAUAUGGUAUCAGAGCAAAUGCAUAUAGGUUCAUAAUCUAAUUGAUGCAUACUCUUGAUUUCGGAAUUUCUUACAUGUAUAGUUCCUAGAUUUCAAGGUUUAUAGGUGAUUUCGGGAUUUGAUUUGGUAGCUUAUUUUCGAUAUUGAUAUGGAAUUUUAGUUACCCGUUACAUGCAAAAUCUUCUUUGCAAAUUCCGUGCCGUAACUCGGUCUAUGUAAUGAGAAUUUCAAAAAUUGAAGGGUAUGUGAACCGGAAAUGAUAUUCUGCAAUUUAAUCUUUUUGCUUUUUAUUUUACACAAUUAAUAUAUGGCUUUCGUUACCCAUCUAAUAAUUCUUAUACUCUCUGAAUUCUGCGUCCUUCAUCUGAGCAUAAAGAGUUUCACACUUGAAGAUUUCGGCAUGAAUAAGAGAACCGAAAUAUAUGAGGUGCACUUCGACAAUUUUACUUGUUAGUGCACAAAAUUAGUUAGGGGGUUCUGCUCUACGUUGAAUAUUUGUUUUACUCUGUUAAUUUCAUGUGGUGAUAUGAUUUGGGUCGUUAGAAUUUCGAUCCAGCAGUUUCAUAAAUUUUCGGUGCAAUUACCUUCUGACCGAGUACCCAAGCUUCAAAUCGGAUGUCUACUUCUUACUAAAUGUCCAAAUUCCCUUCAUUAUCGCAUUACUCACAGCAAUUUCAGUCUCUUUUGCAGCUUUAAUUUCUGAUUCGGGGCACCCAAAUCGAGUUUAAUGGUGCAAAUUCCUUCUAAUUGGAACGUCAUUAGGCUAUCAAAUAAAUGGUUAACCUUGGGUCCCCACAUCCCAUGGAAUCACAUCUUGAGGUAGGGCUUGUUUGAAAUCGAGGGACUCAUCAGGAAUUAACUUAUAUCACUAUGCUAAUCUGGCCAGCAAUCAACCCUAAUAUGGAUCGUUCUACUUUGACAAUGUUUAAACUUAAAAACCAAAAAGCUGUAACUGUCUCCACACGAUGCAAAUCAUAAAGAGUCGAGGACAAUUCAUCCCAUCAAAGCGCGCUAACACAAAACAAACAUCUAAAGCCAUGGAUUUCGAAGAUCACACACUUUUGGAAAGAAGAAAAUCUCGCAGACAGAACAAGCACAAAGCUCUGUGCAUAACCCGCACUCGAGCCAUAGAGAACCGAAAUAUAUGAGGUGCAAUUCGACAAUUUUACUUGUUAACCUUCGUGAAAAAGGGGGUAUAAGCUGUCGCGUGAUCUAAAGCCAGAAUGGCCAUACAAAGAGGAGGAGAAAGGAGAGGUAUACUAAUAGAGUAAUUUUUCUCAUCAGUGACAAACGGACAGGAGUGAUUAUUUCACGAUCUUAUGCAUGUGGUCAAGAAACUAUAUAUCUUGAUUCUUUUUGGGUAUGUAAAAAUCAUAUUAUUCAUUUCUUUUUAGAACUUUGUAGCCCAAAAUGAAAACGAAAUAUCGUCACAAAUUGAUAGAAACACAGGGUUUUUUUUUUUUUAAUUCAUCCCUUAUAAUUUUAAAGUUAAUGCUUUCACAAACGGCUUUCUAAGUCUAAAAGAGAUCAGUCGAUAGAAACAGAGAGAUCUAUGCAAAGAUGCAAUAAAAAUAAAAGGUCCUGCCCAUUGAACCCUCGAUAAUCUUUCCUGCUUCAGUACUUCCUCAACAUUUUAUUAACUCGUAUAUUUAUAGAUGAGGAAUAAGGAAAAGCACCCUUUAGACACUAUUAUAGUUGAUUAAUUCAGUACGCAUGCUCCGGUGCUAAUGCUGGUGCGGGGACAGUGGUCUCAAACUGUAACAUGAUAUACUCCUCCCAUAAUUCAUCCACAGACUGACCAAGAAUAAUCACGAAAAACGCAUCGGAGUACAAACUCUCCCUCAUUGCGUUGAGGUCCGACACGAACCCACGCCUCUUCCCGCUGCAAAACUCCAGGAAAUACGCCGUCACGGCAUGCCCAUCGUCCCAUCUGGAACCAGACCCUCUCGGCGGCCAAUACUUUGAUGGCCAUCUCGCGUUCAACCGGAUGUAGUCGGCAAUGCCUGUGAUAAGGCCAAUGGGGGCAGUAUCACUGCCUGUCCAUUGCCAUACGCGAGCGCUUUCGUGGUAUACAAUCCCCGUGAACUCGGCCUUCACGUCACCGACAUAUGCUUGGAGGUAGUCUGCGUCCACUCGGAAUUGGUUACCGUUGUUGGUUGCGAUGGUGGGGGGAAAUCCAUUAGCGACAAAGCUCUCGAUGAUCGCAAGCACCGUGGAGUAGCCUCUUCCCCCACCGUUGCUUUAAUUGAACGUCUCCAAGACAAAGUCAGAAGCGGUUGAUGAAGUUUCCAAAGCGAAUAUAGAUCCGAUCUCAUUCUUGAAUCUGUUGUCAGUGGUGUUGGAGGUGUUGUCAAGUACCUCGCAGAUCAAGUCUCGAGCUUCUUGUGUUGGUUUCAGAGCAACGAAGACAAAAAUGAAGAGAAGAAAGAGCUUCAAAGGUCUCAUUCUGAGAAGAUGUAAUGUAUCAGAUUGUGAUGAGGUUUAUGCAAUCUCUUGCGUCUGCUUGUGGAGUAUAUAUAUAAGGUAAUCUCGAGGAUGAGUAAACACAUGAGAUCUAUUCAUUUAAUGUAGUUGACUGUUGCAACUGCACAUGCUGUAGUGAUUGUCGCCAUCGCAGUAUGUUUCUAUCCCAGAAGUGGAGUACAAAGUGCGUUUAUUAAGAUCGCUUGGAAUCAUGAAAAUUUUCAAAAAGCGAAAAAGUGAAUAAUUAAUCGUGAAAAAUAUAAAAGAACUAGACUUGUCCCAUGUGCUGAGAUGACAAAAGAGACUAAAUACGGGCUAAGUCAAUGAGUUAGUAGAGUGGAACCAUCUAUAUUGGCCACUUAAGUCAAUGAGAUUUCAUUCUUAGAACACUUGAGUUUACCAUGUCAAGAUAGACAUUAAUGCAAUCAAUUUAAGCAAUAUGCCUGUAUUACAAAGAAGAUCAACAUGGCUCUAGAUUGGUAUGAUUUUGAUAAGCAUUCAAGCACAUGAUCCCCAUAGGUGCAAUUCGUCCUAACAAAAUUGACGCCUAGAGGAAUUAUAAGAGAUGGAAGGGCAAAACUCUUUAUCUAUUUAUUUAUUCUUUUAUAGUCAAGAAGACCCAAUUUAAAGGAAUAGUCCAUCCAUCCCACUACUGUCACGUAGGAGAUGGAAGGGCAUAACUCUUUAUCUAUUUAUUUAUUCUUUUAUAGUCAAGAAGACCCAAUUUAAAGGAAUAGUCCCUCCAUCCCACUACUGUCACGUAGGAGUGACCCAAGAAAAGUUCUUUUUGUUGAUUCAUGUGCAUAUACAUAAUCGUAUGCUUCUCGAGUAUUUUUGUGUGGUGAAUCAUUUCGAUGAACCUAAUAUAUUAUUAGGCAUAAACGGAGUAAUUGUCAAUAUAAAAGGUAUAGAGGAAUUUUUAACUUUUUAUUGGUGGAUGGGUAUUGUGGAGCAAUAUUCAUGAAAUAAUAAAACGAAUCCGUUUUCACGAUUGACCAAAAAAAAAAAAGUUGGCCAUCUUACUUGAAAUGGUCGAUUUGUAUAUAGGGAAUUAUCUCAUCAAGAGAUUGCACCAAGUACAAAUUGAAUAUGAGACCUCAUCUUGAACCUAGGUUUAGAGUUAUUUCAAAUCCGAGUCAGUUAGAAUUUCUUGGAAAAUGGAGCCAUUUCACUAGCAAAAGAUUUGUUUUCUUACUCGAGCAACGAACAUCACACAUGUAGAUUGCAUUAGCAUCAAAUGAGUUUCAACUAGUCAAAGACUCACGAUAUAACAUGCAUACAGUUUUGAUGAACAAACACCACACACGAUUUUCUUGAUACAAAAAUGCAUUCUAUUUGUAAUAUCUCUCAUUCCCACUUUUCCUUUUUUUUUUUUUGGGUCCUCUCCUAUCCCCACUAAAGUUAGAUUGAAUUUAGUGGCGUAAUGCAUGAAAUUAUAGUACCAAAAUUGCAGCGUAGGAAAAUUAAGGGGGUUGUAUCAUUUUGCAAAUUAAAUAAUGGGUAAAAAAAAAAAGGAAUUUUGAGUUCUCUUGUUAAGCUAAUAAAGGCCGAAAAAAAGAAGAAGAAGAAGGAGAAGUGAUAAUUGGGGGACCACAAUCGAAAGACAGAAACGUUGAUGGACCGGCCCAAUUGACAUUGAGCAAAAGGGGAAAAGAUCCGGUUAGAUAAAGCACGAACAUUUCAUAAGUUGGUGUCUAUUUUGCAUGGGUAGAAGUAAGUUUAGCCAUAAGAUUUUAUGGUCCUAUUGUAUCAUAUUAUAAUGAGAAAUGGUUUUAUAUUAAUACAUUAACUAAAGUGCGACAAAUUAAAUAUCAAUUGUCAAAUAAUUUUUUUUUUGGUGCAACAACAAAAUAGUUAUCUUUUGUACGAAGCAAUAUUUUAUAUGAUUGGAUGAGAUUUUACACACAAAAAAAGCUUACUGAAAUUAUAAACCUUAACUAUGAAAUGCAUUUUAAUCACAAAUCAUUCAUUUUAUACUAUCAGGUCUUAAUCUUUAUAAGAGUAAUUACAAUAUCCACUUUUAGUGUAAACAAAAUUGGCAUAGGCCGCGCAAAUCUACCAUCAAUUUAAAAGAUCGGAUAGUUUUAAUCCUCAAAUAAAGAGCGGAUAAAAUACCUUGUAUAAAAUUUCAUUUAUACUGGCAAUAUAUUUUAUAUUAUUCAUCACUCUUUAUUUUCUUCUCAUCCUUCUAGAAUUAUCUAUGCAAUUUCUUUACUAAUAUUUUUGUUUUUUUUUUUAUAAUCUACUUUUAUAGUCAGAGUGACCCAAUUACUAGUAGAAAGUAUAAAAAAGAAAUACAUUUAAAACACAUGAGUAAUCGCAUUAAAAAGGAGUAGUCCCUCAUCCUAUCACUAUCAUGCGCUUCUUGAGGCAUUUUUUAUGUUUAAGUUUUUGAACCAUCUCUAUCAACUUGAUAUGUUGUUAUUAGACAUAAAUGAAAACAAUUGUCAAUUAAAAGGGAAUGGAGCUAUUUUAACGUUUAACUGAUGAAUGAGUAUUCUGGAGCACUCUUUAUGAAGCAAAGAGUGAAUUUCUAUUUUCCUAAUCCACCAAAAAAUUGGCAAUUCAUAUAUAGUAAAUAACUUCAUCAGGAGAUUGCACUAAAUACUAAUUUAAUAUGAGACCGCGUACUGAGUCUAAAUUUAAAACCAGUUCAAUUUCGGGCAAUCUUUUGGAAAAUGGAGAACAAACAUCACACAUGGAGGUUGCACUAGGAGGAACAAACACCACACAUUCAGGUUGCACUAGCAUUAAUGAGUUUCUGUUUUAAGUAUCCAAAAUUCUUAUCCCAUGUUGAUUAGGUUGGAUUCAGUGACGAAACGCAUAAAUUACGAAGCACAGUAUUUUAACCCCAAAAAAAUAAAAUUCACAGUACCAAAAUGGCAGUAGGAAAUCAAGAUAUUGCUGGUAUAGCAUGUUGCAAAUUAACUAUUGAUAUAAAAAGUCAAAAUCAUUGGUUAUGUUUCUUUAAAAAAUGUUUCUUAGAAGUUUUAUACAUUUAGUAUAAAACGCAAUCUAAUAGUAAAUCAUUCAUUUGACACUAUCCAGUGCAAAUGAAAAAAAGAAUUACACAAGCAACAUAAACUCACCAUUAAUUUAAGAGAACCGGCAAUUAUAAUCCUCAAAUGUAUGGGGGAUAAGCUCUAUUGUGUAAAAUUUUCUUUACAUUGGUUGUGUAUGCUCUAAUUUUCCUCUUUUUAAAAUGUGAUGAAGUUUAAUGGGUAUUGGUACUAUAAAUUGCUCAAGUGAUAGCGUUAGAGAUUUAAAUGUACAAGACAAUUGAGAAGUGAUAACCAAAUUGACUAGAAUGUACUAUUAGGGGAAAAAAACUUACUAUUUGGUUGCACUAUUUGAAAAGUUCAUAACCCAUUGGCAACAAAAAAAGGCUUUUUACUUCACUCAUAAAAAUUUCAAACUUCUAAUAUGCUUUUUAUCUAUUUGUUUUCUGAAAAAUACAAGUAUAAAUCUGUGCUUCCUUUGACAUCAUUUGGUCUUUUCAUUUUUUUAGGGGUCAAGUUUGUAAUUUAAAAAAAUUAGUGGGGUCAAAGUCUACGAAAGAGAUAAAUAGAUACUGCAUGUGAAAAUUUAUGGAUAUAUAAUAUGAAAUAUAACAAUUUGAGACCCCACUCAAAUGAGGGUCGCGUUGUCCUUCGAUCCAGUUCAAAUGUUCAUUGGUUGAUAAAGUCUAGUUGGGUUUUCUCUGGGCUAAAUCAGAAGUUUGCGCAGCUAUGGUCAUGUUUGACGAUAUCUCAGCAAUCGUUUCCGCUAGUCACUAGGUGGUGUGAAGGUCUGUCGAUAGUGCAGCUGUGACUGCACAGUGGUUCAGAUGCUACGAAGAGCGUCGGGGUACCGUCAUGGGCUCCAUCAAAGAGGAAUUGCUAGAGCCCAUGUCAAGCAUUGGGAGGGACAAGGGAGAUUUGUUGACAUUCGUUGGGUCUGUUCAUUUCGGGGAACUAGGGAGGAGGGUGGUGGUGGUUUUUUGGGCUCCUUUUGGGACAAUUGAUGCUUCUUCGAUGAGAUCCGACCCAUCAUGUAGUAAACUAACAAUUGUGCUUGUGUAUGCUGUGUCCUAGAAUUGAAGUUCUAAGUAUUUCUCACGGCCAAUUGGAUGCGAUUUAAAAGGCGAAGUUUGACACGAAUAAUGGAUAUUGCACUUUGCAAAUUACAUAUAUACUACCUUGGCUUUAUGCCACGCAUGGUACAUAGAGAAGGAGAAACAUGAAAAUUUAGUUAUUUUAGUACAACAAAGAACUCAUUCUAACACUAUUAGUAAAAUGUAUUAAUAUGAACUUUGUAUUACAAUAUUUAUAUAUUAAAAUGUCCAUUCAUCUAAAACUUUACGUUUCUAAAAUAGUUGACAAUGGUCUUAUAAAACCUUCCAUGAUGCCAAAGUACAAAAUUCGAAAUUUUAUGCUCAAAUUUCUUGGGGUCUCUUUCCUAUUACAUAUCCCGGUCCUUUAGUGUUAAAUAAAAUCAGAGCCUACGAGUAAGAAUGUUACAACCGUUAAAUAUUAAAACAUGUCUUCAUUUACAAACUUCAUCAUGUUUAUAUUAGAUGUUAUUCAUCCAUUUUGCGGAGAUUCCUUUUUGUUCUUAAUUGCAAUUUUAAUCAUACUAUUUAUAGAGCUUUCUAACUCAAUUUUCUUUUAAAAUCCAGAAUGAUGUCCAAUAAAAUAAUUUUGUGUCCUUUUUAUUUUCUAAAGAUACUUAAAUAGGCCAAGUGCGGGAAAAAAAACACAAUUUUUUUUUACUGUGACCAUAUUACGACCUUUCUCAUGUACUAACAAAAGCGCAACAUUCAUUUUCCCUUUGUAACACAACCUUUCAAGUAUACAAAAAAAAAAAAAAUGCACAUUGGUUGACCUAUGUGACCAAAAUCACAUCUAUUAGUAUUUGGUCCAUAACCGGAAUAUCUAGACCUCUAUCCGUAAGAUCCAAUUUUAGAAAAACAAUUUCUGUACUUCUUUUAGGAGGAGGGAAUUUAUUUAUUUAUUUAUUUAGAGAAAAUAAAGUGAUGUGAAUAUCGAGAAGAUACCAUGAAAUCCACAUUAAGAUGGAAGUGGACUGUAACUGAGAUUGAGGUACGUUGGUACAAGACAUUACUUACUGUCAAUGUAGAGUGAGUCUGUUAGGCGAACACGUGGACACAAUAGUGGAGAGAGAAUGGACGGAUUACUAAAGAAUGCUACUCUUUUAUCAUAGUAAUAACAUUUUAUGCAAUUUUCGGGUAAGUAUGAAAGCCUGUGUUACAUAUGUCUCUGUGGUAAAAGAGAAAUUUCCAAUUAAGAGUUUGAAGUGGGAUUAUUUUCUUAAAAGAGGGCCUAGAGUAGAUUAUGUUUCAAAAAAUGACUUAAAGUGGUCAAAUCAAUCUUUAAAAUGGGUUUAGGCUCACCGGAGGGCCAUUUCCAACGGCUUGAACGGGGUGAUUUUGGUCAAAAUCUGCCAUUGGAUAAAAAAUAGAAGAAUAUUCUCAAAUGAUUUUCUAUUUUUCACGUUUCCUUCCUCUCCCUUGUUGCUCUCGCCUGAUCCUCGACCGCACCACUCCUGGUCUUCGCUGCUCGCCUGAUCCUCGGCCGCGCCGCUUCCAGUCUUCGCCCCUUGCCUGGUCCUCAGCCACGCCGCUCGGGUCUUCGCCACUCACGUGAUCCUCGUCGCCCGCUCAUCGCAAGCUUCAGUCCACUGUUCGCCGUUCACCGUUCACUGUCCACUGUCAGCUCUUCUUUCCCAAAUUCAUCGUCCACAAUCUUUAAGUCGUCCACGAGCUUCAAGUCCGUUGUUUCAUCUGCAAGCUUCACUCACUUUCGAUUGAGGUCAGUGUCGUUCGUAUUGGUGCAGUCCGUUAAAGGAAAAGCUAUUGUAGCUUGUUGGAACAACACGCCACCUAAGUAUGGGCAUGUCGUGGAACAUCACAACAAUGGCACUGAGGCUCUCUUCCCAAACCCGAAUGUCUGUUCCAAUCACAGUCAAAAAGCCUACUCCUCUGAAUUAUCUUGUUGCAAUGUUGUUUUCUCUGGUGGAGUAAUUUUCCAGCUUUCCAAGAAUGCUGGUGGAACAGCAAUCUGGGCUUUGCCAUGAUUGUAGUUGGGGGAAUCAUUAGGAGGUUGGCGAUUAGAACUGCUGGGGGGGCGUUCACACAUUUGAUCAAAAGUCAUCAUGAGGAUCAUCACAAGCUUAUAGCUUAUGGAAUCUAUCAGUUCAUCCGUCAUCUUGGAUAUUGAGCAUUCUUCAUUUGGUCGAUUGGGACUCAAAUAAUACCGUGCAAUCCCGUGUUCAUGUUUGCGUUCACGACACAAGUUUGGCACUUAUUUGUAACAUGGUCACCUUAUGAAGAGUUUUUGCCGAGACAAUUCUUCGGGCAAUAGGAUGAGGAAUAUGAGCAAACUGUCCUUUGGGGGUUCCAUUUGUGAAGUGAGUUCCGCAUCUUAAGGUCUUAGGAAAGAGUGCAGCAUCCUAGAUUCAGUUCAUGUUGUCUGUUGGAGGCCUCAAUGCAGCUACUUGGAUUGGAUUUAACAAUGUUAAUGCAUCUAUUUGUUAGAUGAAACUCUCUGAGCCCUCCAUCUAUAGAUUGGACUAUUUAUAAGUUGUAAAGCACAAUUUUACAAAUUGAGAAAUCAUUUUCGCUCAGCAUGUUUGUUUUGAAAAUUUUGUGCAGACUCGACUUUCUGCAUGAAGGCUUGUCAUUCUUGUCCUUAAUUCUCUCUUUAGUUAUGGUUGUGUAGCAUUCACAACAUGCUUUGUAUUGAUUUAUCAAAAUGGCAAGGUGAUGGAAUGGUUGAGUGGUACAUGUUCUAAUUUCCCAAAUAAAAUCUUUCGUUGCUAUUCAUUGAUGUCUGUUAACUCUACAAUAUUCACGUGGUUCUUAAUUUUUGUUUUCUCUUGGUUUUCUUGCUUAUUCGGAGUAAGUAGAACUAUGUGGCAAGUUUAUCAUAUUCAAUCUGCUAAUUACUAAAUGAAGUUCCAUAAUUUGCUUUAAUGGCAUUAUUCAAUUUUCAAGCAAUUGUCAUCACUUCUUUGAAAGCUCAAUGGAAUGCCAAUCUACAAUCAUUGGUCAGUACACUAUGCUGUAUAUUAAUGACAUAGCCCAGGAUGAACAACUAACCAGUAGACAUGUGCCGGCAACUUUGUAAAUUUUAGUUUGUGCUGUUCGAUUAUUUCCUGUCCUAAACCAGCAAAAAUUCCAUUGUUCACUCAAUUCAAACCAAUUUUGUAUCUAGCAUGCUCCGAAGGGAAAACUAUUUUGCAUAUGGAAACAUAACAUCUGUGAUAGCAAACUAUUUCGUAGUUGAAGGUAAACUAGUUCAAAAGAUCAGUAAUAAGCGCAACAUAUCAUUUAUUUUGGAAUAUGAAGAUGAAAACUGACAGUCACAUGAGUCUUGACACCCUUCGACAAAAAAAAUAUGUAUAUGUAGGUCAAGUCCAUGACAAUUUCGUGUGAAGCACUCGACAAAGAGCAACGCAGUCGGGGAUGAGCUUGUCAUGGGGUGGCCAACAAUCUUUGAUUCCUGGAGCAUCUGAGAACUCCUUCAUCCAUGUAAAUAGAAAUGGAAACCUCUCACCUUCAACCACUUUGAUACUGAAAAUCUCCUCAAAGACUCUAAGUAGAUGUCCAACAAUCCAAUUGUGAUGUCUAGAUAUCCAAUGGUGUCUCCGCUGAAAAUUUCUUCCCUCAAAGCUCUUCCUCCAGCUUCUGCAGGUGCUCACUUCCCUCUGCAAGAGCAACUUCCUGCCCUUUGCCUUCACUUAAGAAUUUCUUCCGUCAAAGCUCUUCCUUCAGCUUCUGCAGGUGCUCACUUCCCUCUGCAAGAGCAACUUCUAGCUCCUUGCCUUCAGUUAAGAAUUUCUUCCCUCAAAGCUCCUCCUCCAGCUUCUGCAGGUGCUCACUUCCCGCUGCAAGAGCAACUUCCUGCUCUUUGCCUUUACUUAUAAAAGGCAGUCGAUAUUGAUGUAAUAUUUCAUGACAUGCCACAGCUUGAGCAGCAAGUCUUCCAGUGACUUUGCAAAAUUCAUUAGACAAAGUAGUCUCUUGUCCAUCAGAAGAUAUAGGAAGCCCAGUGAAGAAUUCAUCCCCUCUUGCAGAUUACCACAAAAGCAUUAAUCAGAGAAGUUGAUACCUAGCUUACUGACAAUAACAAAGUCCAAUUACUAACUUAAGGAUGCCAUAAAAAUCGCCAAAGAAGAAGAAUUUCGACCUCGUUUUCUGCAAUGUCCAAAACCCGCAACUCAAGCUUUUGUCCUCACAGCUCCAAAACAUUAGUAGUCACUAAUCUUACUGUUAAAUUCACUAAUGAGCACAUCUGCCGUACGAACAAACAGUUCAUAGAUCACAACGAGAAAAGCCAGCCAUUGAAGUUUGAAGUCAGAGGACAGAACAAAAGCUUUUGCUAGAGCAACGCUGGUGCGAGGCAAUCCCAACUUUGCCCCGGAGGAGAACCCUCCUCGCCAGCUUGGAUCAAUUUUUCGGGGAAGGGCAUUCGGGGGAAUGGAAAUUCCUUUCUUUUGGGAUUGCGGUGGCAUGAAUAGACUGAGGAGCAUCGAAGAGAGGAUCGGAACUUGGGUCUUUCACGAUAAUUGCUCGCGCAAGAGGAGCAGGCUUUGUGACUGUAAGUUGAAGAGAGGCAUUCGGAUUUGGGAGUAGAGCCUUAGGGCCAUUGGUGAACAUGCCUAGGCGAUGCGUUGUUUCAACAAGCUACGAUAGAUUUCCCUUUAACAGACUGCACCAAUAUGAACGACAACUAACUUCGAUUGAAAGUGAGUGAAGCUUGCAGACGAGACAACGGACUUGAAGCUCGUGGACGACUUAAAGAUUGUGGACGAUGAAUCUGGGAAAGAAGAGCUGACGGUGAACAGCGAACGACGGACUGAAGUUCGCGAUGAGUGAUGAGGAUCGAGUGAGCCACAAAGACCCGAGUGGUGUGGCUGAGGACCAGGCCAGCAGAGAAGACCAGGAGUGGCACGGCCGAGGAAUAGGCAAGAGCAACGAGGGAGAGGAAGGAAGAAAACGUGAAAAAUUGAAAAUUAUUUGGGGAUUUCUUCAAUUUUUUAUCCGACGCAUAUUUUGACCAAAUUACCCCAUGUUCAAGCCACUGGAAGUGGAAAUGGCCUCUAGUGAGCCUAAGCCCUUAUUUGAGAUUGGCUUGGUCACUUCAUAUCAUUCUUUGAAACAUAAUCCACUCUAAGCCUUCUUUUCAGAAAAUUAUCCAACUUUGGGCUCUUAAUUGAAAUUUUCCCUUGAUAAAUGUUGCGUGAUUUUUUUUUUUUUGGUGGUAUGUUGCCUGCUUAACUAUCAUUUAUUAUCAUAUAUACUUCUGAUUUUUUAUUUAUUCAUUCUUUUAUUGCAAAUUGAAUUAUUGGUUAUUAAAAACCGAAUUUUUUAGUUCUCUUCCUAAGCUAAUAAAACUGUAUUAUAUUCAUAAUCUCACUCGCCGGGGGAAAAAAAAGCCGCCUAAUACUAGUAGGCAAAAAAAAAAAAAGAAAAAAAAAAGGAAAACAAGUAAUAACUGUGGACCACCAUCGAAAGACAAAAACGUUGAUGAAUCGACCUAAUUUACAUUAAACAAAUGGGCAAAAGAUCCGGUCGGACAAAGCACGAGCAUUUCAUCCGUGAUGUCAAUAGAGCAAGCGUAUGAGCAAUUUUAGCCGUAAAAUUUUAUGUUUUCAUAAUAUCAUACUAUAAUGAGGCAAGCUUUUAUAUAAAUGAAAUAACUAAAGCACGACAAUAUGAAAUAAUAUGUGGUAUUAUUGGAUACGUUUUAAUGAGAAAAAGAAAAAGAUCAUAGGAAGCUCUGCACCUUAUGUAUAAAACGCAACCUAAUUAUUAAUCAUUCAUUUGAUACUAUCAAAUUUUAAUCUUUUUAAAAGUAAUCAUAGCAUGCACUUUGAGUGUUAAAGAAAAAAAAAGUCUACCAAAGCUGCCCAAUUCCACCGUUGAUUUAAGAGAUUGAGUAGUAAUGAUCUUCAAACCAAUGGAAGAUAAGGGCCUUUGUGUAAUUAUUACACACAAGUUUAUUGUUCCUUUUUUCUAAAUGUGACGAAGUUUAUUGGGUAUUAGUAGAGCAAUUUGUUCAAGUAAUAGUGUCAGAGAUAUAAAUAUGCAAGAAAUGGAGAAGUGAUGAUCAUAUAGUUGCAUUACUUAAAAAAAUUUGUAACUAAUUGGCAAGAAAAAAAGGAUUACACUCAACUGCAUUCCACGCAUAAAAAUUUCAUGUUUUUAAUAUGUUUUCUAUCAUUUUCCUUUUCUAAUUCAAAUGUAAAUUUUAAAAUUUUGAAUUUUUUUAAUGUCGUUUUGUCUUUUCAUAUUCUAAUGGGUCAAGAUUAUAAUAUGGAAGUGAGGCUAAAGUCUACAAAAGAGGCCAAACAUACAAUGUAUACAAAAAUUCAUAGAUGUAUUCUAACAAAAUUAAAAAUUCAAAACUCUACUUGAAUAAGAGAUGCUCCAUUCCUGGAUCCAAUUUAGAUGUUCACAUGUAAAUCAAGUUUCAUUGGGUUGCAUUUGGGUUAGAUCAAAAGUUUGUACAGUUGUGAUCAUGUUCGAAGAUAUGUCAGCUAUUGUUUACACNNNNNNNNNNNNNNNNNNNNNNNNNNNNNNNNNNNNNNNNNNNNNNNNNNNNNNNNNNNNNNNNNNNNNNNNNNNNNNNNNNNNNNNNNNNNNNNNNNNNNNNNNNNNNNNNNNNNNNNNNNNNNNNNNNNNNNNNNNNNNNNNNNNNNNNNNNNNNNNNNNNNNNNNNNNNNNNNNNNNNNNNNNNNNNNNNNNNNNNNNNNNNNNNNNNNNNNNNNNNNNNNNNNNNNNNNNNNNNNNNNNNNNNNNNNNNNNNNNNNNNNNNNNNNNNNNNNNNNNNNNNNNNNNNNNNNNNNNNNNNNNNNNNNNNNNNNNNNNNNNNNNNNNNNNNNNNNNNNNNNNNNNNNNNNNNNNNNNNNNNNNNNNNNNNNNNNNNNNNNNNNNNNNNNNNNNNNNNNNNNNNNNNNNNNNNNNNNNNNNNNNNNNNNNNNNNNNNNNNNNNNNNNNNNNNNNNNNNNNNNNNNNNNNNNNNNNNNNNNNNNNNNNNNNNNNNNNNNNNNNNNNNNNNNNNNNNNNNNNNNNNNNNNNNNNNNNNNNNNNNNNNNNNNNNNNNNNNNNNNNNNNNNNNNNNNNNNNNNNNNNNNNNNNNNNNNNNNNNNNNNNNNNNNNNNNNNNNNNNNNNNNNNNNNNNNNNNNNNNNNNNNNNNNNNNNNNNNNNNNNNNNNNNNNNNNNNNNNNNNNNNNNNNNNNNNNNNNNNNNNNNNNNNNNNNNNNNNNNNNNNNNNNNNNNNNNNNNNNNNNNNNNNNNNNNNNNNNNNNNNNNNNNNNNNNNNNNNNNNNNNNNNNNNNNNNNNNNNNNNNNNNNNNNNNNNNNNNNNNNNNNNNNNNNNNNNNNNNNNNNNNNNNNNNNNNNNNNNNNNNNNNNNNNNNNNNNNNNNNNNNNNNNNNNNNNNNNNNNNNNNNNNNNNNNNNNNNNNNNNNNNNNNNNNNNNNNNNNNNNNNNNNNNNNNNNNNNNNNNNNNNNNNNNNNNNNNNNNNNNNNNNNNNNNNNNNNNNNNNNNNNNNNNNNNNNNNNNNNNNNNNNNNNNNNNNNNNNNNNNNNNNNNNNNNNNNNNNNNNNNNNNNNNNNNNNNNNNNNNNNNNNNNNNNNNNNNNNNNNNNNNNNNNNNNNNNNNNNNNNNNNNNNNNNNNNNNNNNNNNNNNNNNNNNNNNNNNNNNNNNNNNNNNNNNNNNNNNNNNNNNNNNNNNNNNNNNNNNNNNNNNNNNNNNNNNNNNNNNNNNNNNNNNNNNNNNNNNNNNNNNNNNNNNNNNNNNNNNNNNNNNNNNNNNNNNNNNNNNNNNNNNNNNNNNNNNNNNNNNNNNNNNNNNNNNNNNNNNNNNNNNNNNNNNNNNNNNNNNNGACGGUGGCACGGCCCCGGCCAUGCAAUGGUCAAGCGCUACGAAGAACCUUAGGGCACCAUUGCGGGCUCCACCAAAUAGGGAUUGCUAGAGCCCAUUUUAAUCGUUGGGAGGGAGCAGGAGGACUUUGUUGACAUUAGUUGGGUCUUUCGGGGAGAUGGGAAGGAGGCAUGGUGGUGGUGUAUUGGGCUUGUUUCGGGGUGGGGCCUGUCUGAUCAAGCUUUUUCUCAGUCGAGAUCCAACCCAUCCAGUAGAGGACUGAAGUCGUUCUUCUUGAUGUUGUAUCCUGGAAUUGAAAUCCUAACUAUUUAUCGUGGCUAGUUGGACCAGGGGGGGUUUGAUACAAGUGAAUUUAUUGCGCUUUCAAUUUACAUAUAUACUGGCUUGGCUACCCGUGCCAUGCAUGGCAAAUAGAAAAAAGAAAAGCAUGAAACUUUAGUGAUUUUACUAUAAUGAAGAACUUAUUCUAAAAUUAUCGGUAAGACGUACUAAUAUGAGCCCUUUCUUACGAUAGUUAAAUAUUAAAAUGCCCAUUCAUUUGAUAACUUGCACUUCUAUGAUAGUUGACAGUGAUUUUAUAAAACUUUUCAUGUGAUAAAGUAGGAAAUCCAAUAUUGUGUGCUCAAAUCUCUUUCAAAUUACAUGUUUCUACCCUUUAGUGUUCUGAAAAAUCCUAGUCUAUGAGUAAGGGAGAGAGUGUUCCAACUUUUAAAAUUGAAAUAUGCUCUCAUCCCCAAAAUUCCUCAUAUUUGUAUAAGACGGUUUUCAUCAAUUUCAUGAUAUCUCACAUAAAGAGAAAGUGAUUUGUUUUCAUUUAUUUCUCUUCUUGAUUGUAAUUUUGAUCAUGCUAUUCAUUGAGUUUGAAUUUUUAUUUUCUAAAGAUACUUAACUAGGUCAAAUACAAAAAAAUACAAAUUUUCAUCACUAUGACCAUUUGAACACAACCUUUGGAAGGUACAAAAAAGAUGCACAACAUUUUUGGUCCAUAACUGGAAAGUCUCCUUUAUCCAAAAGGUCCUAUUUUGGAAAAAAAUAAUUUCGUGUACUUCUUUAAGGAGAGUUUUAUUAUUAUUUUUUUAGAGAAAAUAAAGUGAUUUUAGUGUUAUGGAGACACCAUGAAAUCAAUAUUAAGUUAAAAAGGGACUGUCUUUUUGAGGUUGAGGAUGUGCUGGUUCUAGUCGUUACUGGUUCUAGUUGUGCUUUUUUAGUCGUAGAGGUAAAACGUCGUACUUUGGCCUACUUAAAUAUAAUUUAUUAUCAUAUAUUGUUCUCAUAAUUGAUUCUUUCUUGCUAAUUUAAUAGUUAUUGACAAUUUGUGUAUGUAAUAGUAGAAAUCUUCUUGAACUUUGUUACACAAAAUUUUCUUAUUAUUUUAAUACUACAUAUGAAAUAACGAUGGUUCUUGAAAUUUGAUAGACAUUGACAAUUUGUUAAUAAGUUUCAAAAAUUUCGCAAAAUUUUUUACAGAAAAUUUUAUUUUGUUUUGAUAUAAGUAUAAGGUUAUUCAUUUUUACUUUGCAUCAUGUCUUUUUCGUAGUAUUGUAUCUUAUUUUACAUGGUAGAUUUCAUGUCCUAGACCUUACCCUCGUCGUGGGAAUGCGACAUCUGCCGCGUUGGGAUUAAUUUGUAAUAUCUCAAGAGACAUUGCCAUCUCAUUGAUUUCUUAUCUUUACAUUAAGCAUAUGCGGAAGCAUGCAAUUUUCAACACCCAAUCGACGACGACAACAACAAUGGAUGGUAAAGGAAAACUCAUACACAUAUCACAUAUUUCCCAUGUUUUUUUUAUUUGUUUAUUCGGAACAUUUUAAAAUUUACAAGCUCACCACUCGAGGGCCAUUUCAAUACGGUCAUCCCUACAUAAAAAGAUAUAGAAAGGGGAUUUCACAGGCUUCAAGGGGAAAUCUGUCUCCUCUAGCAGAGAUUUAACCAGAAAACUUAACGGCAUGGGAGGAGCACGUCACUCCACUAAGAGAUUAAGAGAAUUGGCUUGGGGGGCGGGGGCGGGGGCGGGCGGGCGCUGAAGACGAUCAAGCUGCUGUUCCGUCACCGAUGUCCGCCGCCGUUCGCCGCCAUUCGUGAUCUCAGCUGCUGCGUUGGCCAAUGGGCCGGACUCGGGUUGGUCCCGGUUUGGCACUGUUCUUGGCCGAGCUGAUUCGAAGGGGAAAAAGAUGUCGUUUGGAAUCCUUCGCGAAGCUGUGAUUUCGUUCGUUCGUUGAAUCGUAAAAGGCCCUGUUGCCGUUUCGAGCGUUCGUCACAGUGCAAACGUCACGGGCCAGGUUAAUAUCUAUUAUCCUUGCUUUGCUUUCCGAUAGACUUCAAUCGAGAUCGAUGUUCUUUCUUUUAAGAUUAAAGCACGCGUUGGGCGCGAUCGGAUUGUUGCCUUGUUCCGAAUGUCGCUGGUUGAUCUUACUUUGAAUCAGGCCGUGAAUUCGAGCCCGAGACGGCGUAAUUUUACUUCGCAAUUUUGUUGACCACCAGAUGUUUGAUAAUAUGCCUCUAAGUCGCAGACAUCGAAUAGAUGGCGAUUUCGUUGACCCAUCCUUUUCUUAGUGCAUUGAUUCUGAACGCGUACCGCUCUGUCCGUCUCUCCUUUGUAUUGGCAUGUUUCUUUGCUGCAUUCGAUGACGAUGGCCACUGACGAGAGGGAUCGGCAUUCAAACGGUAGAAAUAUGUUUGUGUACUGGACCUGCAAGAUCUUGAUCUUAUAGCUGCAAGCUAUGGAUUCAUUCCUUUAGUAGCUGCAUAUUGAUACUGAAAUAUUCCUACUGUUGGCAACUUGAUGCUGAUUUCUUCCGGAGUUACCUAUUGUCCUCAUAAUUUUUUCUCCUAACGAGAAACGAGACCUAUUUACCUCUUCUGUAUAAAGCACAGCAUUGAAGUUCCUGUCAUGUAAGAAACUGGUUUUGGCAACUGGGUGCAUUUCAGAUAUGUUGUUUAUUUUCUAUUAAGAUGAUUAGUAUUUCAGUCUUCAUUAGUGAAUGAUCUCAAAUUUGUUUAUGUUAUAGUUUGAUUGAACAGCUGUGUGAUUGUUGAGGAUGUGAACAUCAUUCCGGCAGGAAGAAACCGGUCUAGUGAGACAUGAAAUGUAUGUUUAUCAUUGCCAUGAUUAGCCCGCGAGGUGUUCGUUAAAAUUUCCCAGGGAAAAUUGUGUCGAACAUCUCACCAGAUAAGCAUCUUUUGUGAAUGUAUACUAGAGAUGACAACAGUAUAUUAGAGAUGAUGUAGAGAGGACCUUAAACGAGCACUGCAGUACAGAUUGUGUACCUGGACUUGUCCUGCUUUAUUCCUGGUCUGAACUCAAUUGGGGAGAGGGUUUGUCAGGCUGUGGACCUCUGAGUCCAUGAUGGAAUUUUGUACUGGUGUGUGGUGAGGUACUGCUCGCUUGGUGCAUCAGUUAGACUCCAUUGAAGCACAAUUUUCCCAUAUGGGCAGUUUAUGCUAGUUUUGUCUGGAGAAUUCUGUGGUUUCCUAGUGAACAUGCAUGCUCCAAAAAAAUCCUUUUUUUACCUGGUCAUCUAUCAAAACACUUGGGUAUGGAUAGUGCUCCAUACUUUUUUGGAAAAUGACUUCCACCUUUAAAAUUAGGAAGUCAUUUUCCUUAUUUUUAAACUUGGUAUUUUCUGGUUGACUGAAGUCAUUUUUCUUUGACCAGCUUAUUUUCCCACACCUAACACUAAAAAAUGGAAAUAGAAAUUUUCUGGCAAAAUAUUUUCCUUAAAACAAAUAGAGCCUAAGUCAAAAUUGAGUUUCAUCUUUCCAAACUACCUUUGAUCAUAGUAGAAAUAUAAUUGGUCUUUAAGGACCACAUACUUUAUAAAUAAAUACUAAUUUGCAUCUAUGCAUAACCACCUAAUUAUGCACUCGUGCAUCCCCUUUAACCUUUUUUUCUUUUUUUCUUUUUUUCUUUUCAUUAAUUCCCCUUAAACCAGGUUAACUACAUAUAUCCUAAAAUAAAUUUCUGUUAUUCUUUCUUCUAUCAUUCUUUUUCUUUGUUUUAAUUCUUUCUCUCCACCUUCUUUCUUUGAUAGCUCUUAAGCUCCUUCCUUAUCUUCACCGUAGGCAAACUUUGAACUCCAUUGACGCCAUUUUCAAUAUCUCGAUUGCUCAUCUUUCAUCCGACACUAGCGAGCCUUGACGAGUGGAAGAUUGCCACUUGCCAAUGGAGCUGACAAACAGAGGAAGUUCUUCGUAAAACAGCCCUAGUGAACUGAAGGUGGCAGAGACUGGCGAGUGGAGGCAGAGUGGAGGCAGCAGACUACCACCACUGACCGAAGCCAUGGAAACUGAUAACAUAGCUUUGGGUGAACGAUUCACUCCUAAGGUUCUGGGUUUUAUGCAGCUUGCUAUAGAUCAGGUAACGCUUGGCACAGCCGAUUGUAUUAAGUUGAUGAAAUACUUGAGCUGAAGUUUGAGUCUGAUUCCUUUGGUGCUAUAAUUGCGUGGGAACUUGAAGUUGAAUUUGGACAAGAGAUGUUGAAUAAGUGUUUCUUUGUAAGUGUUGUCUGUGGAUGCUUGGUAGUGCAUCUGUUGGUAAUCGACAUUACGUGCAGCAAAAUCAGCAACAAUCCCUAGAAGGUAUAGGUUUUCUCUCUCUUUUCAUAGGUGGUAAUUUAUUGAAUUAAGUAGGUGAAGUCUAGGUUUAAAGGAAAAACAAGCAAG